rnacentral:sRNA from 1 species
AGGCGAAAAGAAAAGCCACGGGAGAUGCAGCAUUCCUCAUUAAUCUUCGGACUCGAAGACGGGCCUUAUUAUUAUCUGCGCUAAUUAUCUUCUAUUCGCAAUGCGUUUUUUGUGUGACCUGUAUAAACGAAAUCAGUCUAUUGAUGAAACAGCAAAGUCGGCCACUGUGUGACUAGAUGGAAAACCUUUGAGUUGAAUUCUCUUUUUUUUGGAGUAAGUAUUAUUUAAUCGAAGUAUCUUACUUAAGUAAUUAAAGAUUUUAUUUCUUAAUUACCAAAUGUACCAAAAUAUCUUAAUUUUUAUAAACAAUAUCCUCUUCUCUAUUGUAUCCGUUGUUUACCUAUUUCCAAGAUAAUGAAGUUGAUUUAAAAAUAAAUAAAUAAAUAUGUAUAUAUAGUAUACAUUGAAAUAGAAGUAGAACGGACAAAGAGAAGUGAAUAGAGCAAUUUCUUACUGGCCCCACCUCGCCUUAUAUAACGAACCUUAAACAAGAACAUUGUAAGUGUACUGUUAAAUCCAUGCGUGAUUUAACUUACACUAAUUACCUUUAUGACAGAACAAAUAUAUUUCACUGGACAAGUAGCUAUAGCUAGAACAAGGAAGAUAAUAAGGAAAAGUAUAGUCAUAGUCUUUGUCCAAUAGGCAGUACAUUACUUCCCUUGUUUGUGACGUACUCUAAGGUUUGAGAUCAUACAUUUGUUACCUAAAAGAUUGAUGUCUAGAUAUUUCUGGUUGGCAUGAACGUCAAUGCAUGAACGUCAAUCUUUUAGAUUGAUUUAAUUCUUUCAAAUCCUAACUCUAUCAGACGAUUUAUCUACAAUACCUGUCAGCACACCUUUAGCCAUAUAUUGUAUGAUUAACUGUGCUUUCACCCGAGCUCCUGCACUAAAUACAUUUUUAAGUCAUCGGUCGGUGUUGUUUCAUUUUACACAGAGAUACACAAACAAUAUUUAAACCUUCAAACAAAAUAUGACACUUGAAAGUUAAAGAACUAAACAAGCACCAAACUAUAAUCAAAUAUUAUUCCUUACUGUAUUUGUUUAUUUCGACGGGUAAAUAUAAAUUACAGGACGCCUAAAAUAGAAUCAGAGAAUUGCUUCAUCUCAGCAUCACUUGAAUUGGGGAUGACACGUCACCUAUUGAUGUGUUAGGUCAUGAGGAAAUAGAUAAGGUCAGACCUCAGUUUUUUUUAUGAAUUAAGGUUUGUAUAUAUUUAUUUUUUUAAUAAUAUCAUCAUUCUGACAUAAUAAGAUUGAUGUUAUCGUUACAUAGACCUAUUUUUUAAAGGCUAAACUUUUACUGAAAUAACAAGAUGGAAAGUUUGACCAUUUCCAAUAUUGAGAUAUUGCUGUUAAAAAUACGUUAAAUAAAACACACGUUGUCUUUUCAACUCAUUUUCAUUUCCUGUUGAUUUACUGUCCGUGGGAUUGAUGUUUUAGAAAAGUGCUUUAUAGGAAAUGUCAUUUUGUCUAGUUCUUAGGGGUCUCUAUUUGAAAGAGUAAAAUUAGAAGAAAAUUCACAAAAACUGUUAAUUGAAACAAAAUAUUUUUGUUAAAUGUAAAACUAUUUUUUAUAAACUAAAUUAUUAAAGCUAAACAAUAUUUUUUAUAUUUGGCUAUUAGUCAUAUACAUUGUGAGAUUAAACUUGGUGUAUUUUCUAAUUCAUCCUUUUAUAAACUAUCACUAGGGAAUUCUUUGGUUGUCCAUUUGUUUGGUAUGAUCGACUAAUCCACAGAUCGAAAGAUAUGACUCGUAUCGUCCAAGACAUUGGAAAUGUUAUUUCUGCCAAAAAACACUAACACUUAAAAUGUUCAUGUCAUUGUACUUAAUAAUAAAAUAACAAACAGAAAUGGCAAUUCAGAGACUGCUCGUCUUAGACGUAACCUAAAGUCUGGAAUGCCAAUAAGUUGGAUAAUUGUGUCAAUGUGUAACAAGGAAGUAACUGAGGUUGACCAAAGAAAAGCUUUAUUACGGGGUUGCAUCCCCUCCUACUUCAAUUGACAGACUUAGUUCCUUAUACAGGCGUCCGCUCCUUGGUGUUGUUACUUCCAUUGAUUCCCUGGUCUGGCUCUCUUUCUUUUCCCAGAACUUUGGCAAUAGGACCUAAGAAUCAUCUUUCUCGAUAGAAUUAACAGUACAGGAAUAUUUAUAAUUGAAUCAGCAAAAUUACCUUCCGUAUUUUGAACCAGGGAACAGGUUUCAAAAUCGACUCGAAGACAGAAGUUUGGAUUCCAAAGAGGUCUACAUUGGCUUGGUAGUGGUUGAUGUAAUAGACCUCCAACAUAUAUGUGCAGAGAAUGUACUGAAAAUGAUCAUAAUGGAAGCGUGUGUAUAUCUUAGGAGACUUUUUUUUUUAGAAGUAAAUAUAUUGUAAUGUUUUGAAUAUUAUUUUUUUAUUUGUAUUUUUUUACUUCAUAAAUAUGGAUAUGUUUAAGAAAACAGUGGAUAUGGGAAAUCCAAUUGUAACCAUUUGAAAUCUUUAAUUAUUCACUCAAGAUGUUUAAUAAACUAAAAAUGUGAGUUCUAUGG